UUUGAACCUGACGAUCUAUGUCACCCAGUGGUCUCCUCAGACCACGUAGCCAAAUAUAUUACAUCCAGAGUACACAAGUCUUUUAAGAAAGGCAAAGUGAAAUAAAUUGCGGGCUGAAUGCCCACGCCGAACAGUCCCUGAUGAUGCAUGUAAAACGCUAUUAGUUGAUCCUAACAUCAUUCAAUUCCUAAAUAAGACAGGA